CCCCCCACCCCCACCCCCACCACUCAUCUCUGUAGCCUGAGGUUUGGUACCUGGGAGAGGCUGGGACUGCUGUGAAGAAGAAAUGCAAGGCUGAACGUGGAGAACGAGGGGGUCUGUGGACCCGCCAGGCCCUGCUGGGAGAUUCUGUCUCACCACCUUCCCCGACCUGCAGCCCCGCCCAACCACUCCUCUGGGCUGCCUUCCUCGCCGUGGCCCCUGAGGGAUCAUCCUGGCAUCAUGCUCUUCGGUGCCCAUCUGACCCUCACCCCCAGGGAACAAGUCCCCAGCUAAGUUUUCCUAUUUCAGAAUGCCAGGACCUUCACAAUCUGGCCCAACCUACCUUUCCCAAGCCUCAACUCCGGCUAGUGUCCCCUAACAGCUUCCCUUCUGGCCACGUCCAAGCACUCAGUGCUGCUUCAACUGAACGAGACCCCACUUCCGGGCCACUGCAUGUGCUGUCCCCCGCCACACCGAACACCUCACCCCUACUGCUCACGUGGCAAGCUCUUAGCCUUUCUCCAAAACCCAAGGCCCCGGACUAAAGCUCAUGCUCUUUGGGUCUGCUGGUGUUUGCUGGAACCCCAAGCCAACUUCUCACUGCAAGCUCCCCCUUUCCAGAGUCAUCUGUGGAUAGAAGAGCUAACACAGGUCAUGUUCUUAGAACGGCACCUGGCCCGUAGUGAUCACUCAACACAUCUUUGCUGUUCUGAAGGUAGCUGACUGGCACUGCUUCAGUGGAACCCCCGCCCCCCGACUCCUCCUCCACCAGGGCUGAAGCAGGCAUGUCCUCCCUGGAGCUUCCGGAACCCCCAUCCCAGACAUCAAUCACUUGGUGCAGGAUAAUGACAAGAUAACAGCUGUCA